UAGUGGAAAGAGUAGAUAGCCAUUCCUUUCUUUUCUGUUUCAGACUGCAGUGCCGGUGCCCCCGGAGGAGAGGAAAGAAAGGCCGAGUUGAGCAAGACUGCAUUGAAGACUGCAGUGCCGGUGCCCCCGGAGGAGAGGAAAGAAAGGCCGAGUUGAGCAAGACUGCAUUGAAGACUGCAGUGCCGGUGCCCCCGGAGGAGAGGAAAGAAAGGCCGAGUUGAGCAAGACUGCAUUGAAGACUGCAGUGCCGGUGCCCCCGGAGGAGAGGAAAGAAAGGCCGAGUUGAGCAAGACUGCAUUGAAGACUGCAGUGCCGGUGCCCCCGGAGGAGAGGAAAGAAAGGCCGAGUUGAGCAAGACUGCAUUGAAGACUGCAGUGCCGGUGCCCCCGGAGGAGAGGAAAGAAAGGCCGAGUUGAGCAAGACUGCAUUGAAGACUGCAGUGCCGGUGCCCCCGGAGGAGAGGAAAGAAAGGCCGAGUUGAGCAAGACUGCAUUGAAGACUGCAGUGCCGGUGCCCCCGGAGGAGAGGAAAGAAAGGCCGAGUUGAGCAAGACUGCAUUGAAGGUGAGUACCGCUUGUGUUGUGUGUACUUUCUCUCCGUCGCUAGGGCGGCGUUCGAGAAUCGCGUUCCAGUGGCGGAGCGCGGUUCGCGAACACCAUUGUCGAGUGGGCCAGGCCGCGGUUGUUGUUGUAUAGGUCUGAAAGUGAAAGUGAGCGGUUGCGUUGUGGCGACGUCACGUGUGUUUUGCCGCAAAACGGGGCCGAGGUGAGAGAGGGUGUCGCGAGAGGGGCUGCGGUGUGUCGUCGGGAAGUAGUGCGGGUCGCAUGUUGUGCCGAAAGGAAGGAAAACGGGGCGGGAUUGGCACUGGAUCAACAAACAACUGGGUUAGAGGUGUCCGCUAUCCUGCGGCGGCGGAAUGGGAAGUCGUUGGCGACUGUUGGUGCUCCACGGGCCGGGGCCGGCCCGCCCCGGGGUGGGGCGCUAGCGGUCACGGUCAUCGUUAUCGCUUCUCGGCCUUUUGGCUAAGAUCAAGUGUAGUAUCUGUUCUUAUCAGUUUAAUCUCUGAUACAUUCCCCAUCGGGGAAUCUAGAUUAAAUUGAUUUUUGAAAGUUGGUCAUGGAAUAAGAGCUUGCUCUGUCCUGACCGCGGAUCGGCUCGGUAUUGCAGUACCUCCGAGAUCGGUCCAU